rnacentral:tRNA from 13 species
UGACCCGGACGUGAUUUGAAGACGCAGCGUUCUGAUCUGGAGUCAGAUGCGCUACCGUUGCGCCACCGAGUC